rnacentral:rRNA from 1 species
GAUGAACGCUGGCGGCGUGCUUAACACAUGCAAGUCGAACGGAAAGGCUCCUGCUUGCAGGGGUACUCGAGUGGCGAACGGGUGAGUAACACGUGGGUGAUCUGCCCUGCACUUCGGGAUAAGCCUGGGAAACUGGGUCUAAUACCGGAUAGGACGAUGGUUUGGAUGCCAUUGUGGAAAGUUUUUUCGGUGUGGGAUGAGCUCGCGGCCUAUCAGCUUGUUGGUGGGGUAAUGGCCUACCAAGGCGUCGACGGGUAGCCGGCCUGAGAUGGUGUACGGCCACAUUGGGACUGAGAUACGGCCCAGACUCCUACGGGAGGCAGCAGUGGGGAAUAUUGCACAAUGGGCGCAAGCCUGAUGCAGCGACGCCGCGUGGGGGAUGACGGCCUUCGGGUUGUAAACUCCUUUCGCUAGGGACGAAGCGCAAGUGACGGUACCUGGAGAAGAAGCACCGGCUAACUACGUG